GAUGAACGCUGGCGGCGUGCCUAAUACAUGCAAGUCGAGCGAAGCGGGGACGGGUGAGUAACACGUGGAUAACCUCCUAUAAGACUGGGAUAACUUCGGGAAACCGGAGCUAAACCGGAUACGUAGUGAUGGAUCCGCGCUGCAUUAGCUAGUUGGUAAGGUAACGGCUUACCAAGACAACGAUGCAUAGCCGACCUGCGAGGGGGAGCGUCAACACUGGAACUGAGACACGGACCAGAAUCCUCCGGGAGGCAGCAGUAGGGAAUCUUCCGCAAUGGGCGAAGGACUGACGGAGCAACGCCGCGUGAGUGAUGAAGGUCUUCGGAUCGUAAAACUCUGUUAUUAGUGAAGCGGUACCUAAUCAGAAGGCCACGGCUAACUACGUGCCAGCAGCCGCGGUAGUAC
rnacentral:rRNA from 1 species